CAGUCGCCGCGGUAAUACGGAGGGGGCUAGCGUUGUUCGGAAUUACUGGGCGUAAAGCGCACGUAGGCGGCUCUUUAAGUCAGAGGUGAAAGCCCGGAGCUCAACUCCGGAACUGCCUUUGAGACUGGAAGGCUUGAACGUCGGAGAGGUGAGUGGAAUUCCGAGUGUGGAGGUGAAAUUCGUAGAUAUUCGGAAGAACACCAGUGGCGAAGGCGGCUCACUGGACGACUGUUGACGCUGAGGUGCGAAAGCGUGGGGAGCAAACAGGAUUAGAGACCCCCGUAGUCCCUGUCUCUUAUAA
rnacentral:rRNA from 1 species